rnacentral:rRNA from 1 species
UACGUAGGGUGCGGAGCGUUAAUCGGAAUUACUGGGCGUAAAGCGUGCGCAGGCGGUUCGUUAUGUCCGAUGUGAAAGCCCCGAGCUCAACUUGGGAAUGGCAUUGGAAACUGGCGGGCUGGAGUGUGGCAGAGGGGGGUGGAAUUCCACGUGUAGCAGUGAAAUGCGUAGAGAAUGUGGAGGAACACCGAUGGCGAAGGCAGCCCCCUGGGCCGAACACUGACGCUCAGCACGAAAGCGUGGGGAGCAAAACAGGG